UUGAAUAUAAAACGUACAACAUUGUGUAUUUAAUCUACAUAACCAACUCCCGCCUUAAGAAAUCAAAACACACUCUAUGUAUAUGGAUAGCAACAUAUGGUGCCGCAACAAUUGAAAUAGGGUUGUGUUAGGCGUGAGACAACUAUAGUUGGGAGGGAAACCAGGUGUGUACCAACCGUCAAAUUUGAUUUAAGUCGGGAUCUUGAGCAAUCUGGUCUAUGCAACAAUAAAGAAUUACCCCGUACGACACGUGUAUCAUAUUCUACAACAUUGUCUUAAUGAAUGUGUGAGAAAAUGAUGCAACAUUUCCAGUCACUUGACGCGGCAAUGCAUUGAUGGAUGGAUCGACCUCGAUCACCCGGGUCUCCGUCCGUCCGUCCAAUCGAAACGCACGCAUAUAGUCCCCGCGGCACCCGUUCUCGAUCAGCGCAUGCACCCGGCCGCAGGCAGCUGUAUCCAUCCGUCCGUCAAUGGAUGAAAUCACCAUCUGUCCCCCCUGCCCCUUCCGCCCGACACGGCGAGCUCUGGCCCGCGGCGCCGUGCCGUGCCG
rnacentral:lncRNA from 1 species